AUUGAACGCUGGCGGCAGGCUUAACACAUGCAAGUCGAACGAGUGGCGGACGGGUGAGUAAUGCUUGGGAAUCUAGCUUAUGGAGGGGGAUAACUACGGGAAACUGUAGCUAAUACCGCGUACCAUAGGAUGAGCCCAAGUGGGAUUAGGUAGUUGGUGAGGUAAAGGCUCACCAAGCCGACGAUCUCUAGCUGGUCUGAGAGGAUGACAAGCAAGAGUGGGACUGAGACACGGCCCAGACGCCUACGGGGGGCAGCAGUGGGGAAAAUUGCGAAAUGGGGGCAACCUGACGCAGCCAUGCCGGGUGAAUGAAGAAGGCAUUCGGGUUGUAAAGUUCUGUCGGUAGCGAGGCGUUAACUACAGAAGAAGCACCGGCAAACUCCGUGCCAGCAGCCGCGGAAUUC
rnacentral:rRNA from 1 species